rnacentral:misc_RNA from 1 species
GAUGAAGAACGCAGUGAAAUGCGAUAAGUAAUGUGAAUUGCAGAAUUCAGUGAAUCAUCGAAUCUUUGAACGCACAUUGCGCCCGCCAGUAUUCUGGCGGGCAUGCCUGUUCGAGCGUCAUUACAACCCUCAGGCCCCCGGGCCUGGCGUUGGGGAUCGGCGGAGCCCCCCGUGGGCACACGCCGUCCCCCAAAUACAGUGGCGGUCCCGCCGCAGCUUCCAUCGCGUAGUAGCUAACACCUCGCGACUGGAGAGCGGCGCGGCCACGCCGUAAAACACCCAACUCUUCUGAAGUUGACCUCGAAUCAGGUAGGAAUACCCGCUGAACUUAAGCAUAUCAAUAACGGAGGA